ACAUAUGAUCUGGACUUAAUAGAUUUUGUGUAUAAAAACAAUAAACAUAUUAAACUAUAAGCAUGUAAAAUUCAUGCAAACAUAAAUCACUUCAAAUUUCUUAUAUUGAUAACUAAUCAGAUUGUAAAGGGUUUUAUUUAGGGCACAAAACCCAACACAAGAAAUAUACGAUGGGCAGUUAUUUGUGAAAUUGAAAAAGGGUGUUGAUCUUCCUGCCAUGGAUCCCUGGGGGACAAGUGAUCCAUAUGUGAUAAUGGAAUUGAAUGGUCAAGUUGUCAAGAGCAAGAUUAAAUGGGGGUAUACUCUUGUUGUUUCACAUUUCCUUAACACUUAUUUUAGAUAACUUCUCUUCCUAUUUUUUGCUUUGUUUGCUCUCCUCAAUUUUUUUUUUUUUUUGAAUAAUCACAUUAUUGUAAACCUUUUGAAGUGAUGUGAUGACUAUACUAAAAUGUUCUUCUAAUAGUUCUUAGUAACUAGAAAAUCUUAUUAUGCCAUAUAGCUUGUUAAAAUUAUAGAUCAGAUUGAAGAACGAUUCGAUAUACAAUUAUAUUUAACAUGCAUCAUGUAUCCUCUGUAAAAUGCUGUUGUGAUAUGUUGUUGUUACAAAAUGGAAUGAAUCGAAUAUAUCAUUUGUGGUAGGAAAAAUUGGUUAUGGUACUAUGAGCGAGGCCCUUGCAUAGAAGCUACCUUUUGUUUUUGUUCGCUGAGAUUAUUUCAAUGAAGAGCCUUUCUUGAGAAAUAUGCUUGAGGUAUAAUUGCUUUAUUAAUUGUUCUUGGUCCUUAUAUCACUAUUGCCAAGAAUUUGAUGAGUUUGGGUGCAAUAAUUGUUUGAACAGUAUUAUUAAAGUGGUGUUGAGAUGAUUAGAAGGGAUUUACUUACUUGCCAUUGGGCACCUCUUGAACAUGCAAUUACUUUGAGACCAUGCUAUGAAGCAUGCAUCAAUGGUGGUGAGAUAUUAUCCUCUUUCAAUUUUAAAGUUCUCUGCCAUAGCUGCUUCUCAUGGUAACUUUAUUAUUUUGCAUUUUCAAUUUCGUAGUUUUGUUGUAUUUAAUGGACAUAUUAGUUGUUAGCUGUAUGGGAUGUACUCUCAGUUUAGCAUAUUACCUACUUAUUAUCAAAAUAGACUAUUUUACAUAGACAAAUUAUUUAAACCGACUCUAUUAAUCCAAGAGAUUUAGCUUUGCUUUGCCAAAAGGCAUGACUUAGUGUUCUUUUCAAUACUUGUUGCCAGAUUUUUAUUGAGAUUGUCUCGAAUUCCAGUCUUUUUUAUACUUUCAAAUUGGUGAUUAGGUGGAGAAUCAUAUUGUUGGAGCUCCUUGUGGUGUUAUGGACCAAAUGACUUCAACUUGUGGUAAAGUCAAUAAAUUUCUUGCAAUGGUGUGCCAGGUACUCAUUGAUCAGAACAACCUUGGCUUUGCUUCUAUUACUAAAAUAAUAAUGAUGAGGCAGAAGUAACGAGGUUGUUUUUCUUAUAUACUUAUUAUUAUUAUUAUUAUUAUUAGCUAUUGUAAGCUUUCAUCAUCUUUGUGUCUAGAUAUAUUUUGUUUCAUUUGAAAUUGUGACAAUAAGUUGCAUAAUUUAUCAUCUUAAACUGAAACUUUAGUUUGUAGGUGUCUUCAAUCUAUUGUCUAAAUAAACACUUAUUUUUGUUUUAAAUUUCUUUAAUUUGGGUAUCUCACCCGAUGAGUAUUGCUUAUAUUUACUGAUUUCCAUGUAGGUGCCGAUAGGAAGUUACUUUUGCCCCCUGAUUGUCUAUGCUACUAGACCAGAAGUUGUUGGUCGAAGCCAGCCAUUGUACUCAAAGAUAGAAGAAUAGUCGGUCAUUAUUAUCGCUUUGGAUUAUCAUACUAUGUACAUUGCUUGAUACAUAUGGUAUCUAGAAACUAAAAGUUUAAAGUUGAAUUACACUAAUUCAUUUGAUAUAUAACAUUUUCUUUGUAAUUGAAAUUCAAAAUUGUUUACAAAUUGAAAUUCAUUUGAUAUAUUACAUUUAAUUGUUGAUGUUAAAUAAUAUAGGGUCGAUUAAUGCUACUAAAUGUUGGCAUACUUGCAUGUGAAUUGGGGCGACAUUACACUUUUAGAGACGAUUUUUUUUUUUGCUCCUAAUUUGCAUAAAAUAUGAGCGAUUUUAAUAUUUUUAGGGGUGACAAAAAAUUGCCCCUAAUAAUCACUUUUAGGGGCGAUUUAUUUUGUCGCCUCUAAAAAUGAGCAUUAGGGACGAAGUAUUAGGAGCGACAUGUUAGUGGUGACUUGUCGUCCCUAAUACUUUUUAGGGACGAUUAUAAAGGUUUUUAGAGGCAGCUUUUGUCGCCCCUACUACUAUCUUUUGUUGUAGUAUGAAAUUAUGUUUGCGACUGUUCAAUAUUCCCUUUUGUUUCAGCAAGUGUUUUACUUUUUCUUUAAAAAAUAUGUAUAUUUCAUAAUGUUAGAAGUCUUUUAACACGAUAUCUUUUCUUUGUUUGUGUGUGGUUUUCAGAUCAAAUCAAAGUUUAGAUUUUAAAGACAAUAAAAUAUUAUAGUAUUUUGUCAUUAGCAAAAUAUUUUUACAUGGAGACUCGGUUAUAAUAGUGCUUAGGAAUCCCAAAUGAGGUAGAUGUAGUGCUUAGGAAUCCCAAGUGAGGUCGAUCUUGUUAUGUUAUU